AUAAUGAUACUUCCGGCGACGGCUAUUCCAUAGGAAUGGAUAGAGGUUAGAAUCCUAUGA
rnacentral:ncRNA from 1 species